CAGUGUCUGCACCAUCCCGGGCACCGCACUCGGUACCCUGCGCGCCACCAGCUGCUCUGUCUUUGGCAAAGUUUCUCAGCCUCUCUCUUCCUCAGUUGAUUCAGCAUGAAAAAUAAGGACAAAAUACCCAGAUCCCAGGGAUGCUCGUGAAUUAACAAGUAGCUACAGGCUCCUCAGAGCCUCGGGAACCCGGCUUGCUGGCGAAGUCCUCUCCAGCCCCGGGAGGCGCCAGAUUGAAGGACCUGGGUGGCAGCACCUGAUGUGCCGAGGUGAGGUCAAGGGAACAUGGACUGGCUGCCAAGUCAUGAAGAAAAACAGGAUCUUUCCACUUUGGUUCCUGCAGUGGGAGGCCAGGGGCAUUCACCAGACCAGGAAGUUUGUGAAAUUUUAGAAGACGUUACAAAUGGGUGUUGGCCUGUCACUAUGGAUCUAUAAUUUGAAGGCAAGAGUUCAGGUGAUGUGAUCACAGCCCACUGCAACCUUGAACUCUUGGGCUCAAGUGAUCCUCUCACCUCAAGUCUCCCAAACAACUAGGACUACAGAGAAAAGAAGAACAUUGUAUUAGAAAAUGUUAUCAAUGAAAGAAUGGAGGUAGGAAAGAACAUGGCACCUGUGAGAGCUCCGAAACUUGAGGUAACACCAGUGUCAACCUGUGUACCCCGUGUUGCUUCCUGUGUAACCUGCUGCACCAAAGAAAGUGGCUAAAUGGAGCUUCCAUGCAUUAAUAAUGAAAUUCACUCAUCGUGUUUUUCUGCAGAAUGAAUAGCUGACGAUGAAGUUAGAAGUGUAUGUUGUAUCAACAUGCUUUAUAAGUAGUCCCUAUAAAUUUCUCAGGCUGAGCCAAAAUGCUUUUAAAAAUCUAGGGUGCAGCUCAUAGAGAUGGUCAGCAACAAUUUUCUGUUGGCUCAGAAAAUAUCCAAAAUUUGUAUUGGUUAAGAGCCAGAGAAGCAGAGCAUACCCAGAGCAUACUCAGGUUCUUUUGAGUACUUGUACACAAAGAACACAUGGACACGGUUUAGUAAGUAUGCUCUCCUAUUCUAGAAUAAGCCUAAAGUUAUUAGGCUUCAUAAUUAGCUCUGGACCCAGAAAUUUAGAAAAUGGAGCUAACGCUCAAAGUGAUAUGGAAAGUGACACAGCUCUUAGAGCACAUGGAAGAAUUAAAUGUACUGAAGUAUCCACUUAAUCAUUAGUACUAUGCUUACAUAUUUAACUUGGUCAUGUAUUUGAUCAAUGUAAGUAGAAUACUUGCUCAAAUUUUUGAAACUGACAAAAAUUCUAGAUUUCAACUAUUGUAUGCAUAAUAAUAAAAUUAUAUUAAUUUUUCUAAUUACACAGUUAAUAUCAAUACUGGAUAAUUCUGAGGCUGAUAAAGAAGGUAUAUUAAUUAAUCUAAUCCAAAAAUAAUUCAGUGCUGGUUCACCAAGUUAAUUCCCAGCCCUCACGUAAAACUUGUUGAAAAAACAGAAUUUUCAUGUAUAUAUUCUUCAAUUUAGAUAAUAUUUUCUCCUGCAUGGAAGGUCCCAAAAUAAAGAAGCAUACACAGAAUAUAGCCAAUACUAGGAUAUAUCAAUUUACUUCAUGUAAGAACACCAUGUUUCAGGCCUAUGAUUUCCAUUUAAUAUUAACAAAAACAAUCUGUACAGAAAACCCAAAGGCAACCAUAUACCAUAAUAUGUAAAAUGUGCAAAUAUACUUUAAAAAUGCAAGUUAUUCUAUAGCAUUUGCAAUGAAGAACUUCAUAGUAAUUAAGCAAUCUACCUCAUUCUAACUAACUUAAUAAUCUUUUGCAUGUAUAGCCAAUGCAAAUGUAGAAGGCACAACUUAGUGUUGAUGCUAAAGUGUAUAACACACACCCUCAGAUUAUUUGAAGAUAUUAAAAUAAUUACCAUGUUUGUAUUUUAUUAAUGAGUCAUGAACUCAUUUCUAAAGCUUUAUGAAGCAUUAGAUAGCUAACAUGUCCUGUGGCCAGGACAAACUGUUCCCUGAACUUAAAAGGUGAAAGACAAGAUCGUAUACUACUACCUUACAUUAAAAAAAGAAAUUUAUAUAAUAUAUAUAUGUACACACAUACACCAACAUUACACAUAUGAAAGUUCCCAUAAUCCAAAGGGAGACCAUUUCCUUAUCAUCAAAGGUUCCUAUUACAGUAUUUCAUGACAGUUAUUUUAAAAUUACAUACUUAUUUACCACCUGUUUUGGUCAAUCCUGCUAUAGACAGACACUGAAAUAGACAAUUUUCUUCUUCAAGGUAAAGACAAUGUGUAAUUUAGAAAGUCUUUCUCUUGAGAUUGCACAGUGAAAGGUAUAAUUUAAUUAAAUAUAAAAGCUUGCUGCUUUUAA